ACCACUGGAUUCUGAAAGAAUGAAUAAAUAAAAUAAAUGAAAUCUUACAGUUAUUAGAAAAUGUAAAAGAUGAGAAACAGUAUGUUCUAUUGUACUGUAUAAGUACAGAAAUGAAUUUAGAGCUGCAGAUAGAAAUGAAGGACUUACCCUGAAUCCAGAGAGUGAGAGUCCAGAUGAAGAUGGAGAAGAAAGUCAUGGUUGCUGUGGGUGAAGUUGCUGGGCAGCAGCUCUCAGUCAUGAAGUGUUAAACUCACAGGACUAUAAACACUAGCAGAGCACUGAAGCAUGGGCUGAUAAUGCAAAGUGGAACCUCUCUAUGGAAAUAUCUAGAACCCCUCCUGAACCUAAAACACAACAAAGAAAACACUCUAAAUAUUACAGAACAAUAUUACACUCACACCAUUUUAUACACCCAGAUUCUGACUGGAUACAUCUGAUACAUAUCGAGAGGACUGAGUGUGUGUGUGUGUGAGUGAGUGUGUGUAUGUGUGUGUGUGUGUGUGUGUGUGUGUGUGUGAGAGAGAGUGUGUGUGAGUGUGUGUGUGUGUGUGUGUGUGUGGUUCAUCACUGGAGUGUAACAGAGGUUUUUGUACGACGGCUUCAUUGGAAUGUAUCACUGUGGUACACUUUCGGCGGAGGAACUAAACUCAUUAUAAAGACCGGUCCCACGGUGAAGCCCUCCGUGUCUCUGCUCCGCCCCUCCUCUCUGCAGCUGUCUGAGGGCUCCGCCUCUCUGCUCUGCCUGCUGUCUGGCUACUCUCCACAGGGGGCGCUGGUCAGCUGGACGGUGGACGGCUCAGAGGUGAAGGACGGGGUUCUGACCAGUGCAGAAGAAGAGAAGAACGGCCGCUACAGCCGCAGCAGCACCCUGACCCUCAGCAAAGCACUCUGGGAACAGAGGGAGGAGUUUACCUGCACCGUCACCCACGAAAAGGUGGUUCAGCCAAUCAGGUUGAGGAAGAGCGAGUGUGAAGGCUAGCAGCUCCAAGAUAGAAGUGAACAUAGAGCUGCUUCCACCUGCAUCUCCAAUAGAGUGUAAAUUCUACACAGUGCUGAUAUUUGUGUCUUUACUCUGGUCAGUGUGCUGUAGCUGUCCCCAUACUUUUGCUGUGCUGAAAUAAAGCUGGAUUUUGGACACUGUGUGUGUUGUAUUGUAAUGAAUGCUGAUGAUCAGUGUUGGUAGAGAGUGUGUUUAGCUGCAGCUUCAGUGCAGUGCUGUGUGUGUUGUGCUUGAGUGAGUUUGGCUGAAUGAAGCUGAACAUCUGCUGAAAGUUCUGCUCUAUUCUGGGAGAAAGAGGACCAAUCAGGACUGUUCAUGCAGAUCUGACCUCCACUGGUUGGAGGGGGGGUCUGGUUUCACUUCUGUCUUCUGUCUUUACUGCUGCUGAUAACAGUAAACACGAGUCCAAUCAGAUCAAACACACAUUUAACAAAGUUUCAGUUAAAUUUAGGAAGACUUUUCUACACGGGUAUUAAAAUAGUUAUCUUUAUUUCUGAUUAAUUGGACU